rnacentral:rRNA from 1 species
GAUGAACGCUGGCGGCGUGCCUAAUACAUGCAAGUCGAGCGAACAGACGAGGAGCUUGCUCCUUCGACGUUAGCGGCGGACGGGUGAGUAACACGUAGGUAACCUACCUAUAAGACUGGGAUAACUUCGGGAAACCGGAGCUAAUACCGGAUAAUAUUUCGAACCGCAUGGUUCGAUAGUGAAAGAUGGCUUUGCUAUCACUUAUAGAUGGACCUGCGCCGUAUUAGCUAGUUGGUAAGGUAACGGCUUACCAAGGCAACGAUACGUAGCCGACCUGAGAGGGUGAUCGGCCACACUGGAACUGAGACACGGUCCAGACUCCUACGGGAGGCAGCAGUAGGGAAUCUUCCGCAAUGGGCGAAAGCCUGACGGAGCAACGCCGCGUGAGUGAUGAAGGUCUUCGGAUCGUAAAACUCUGUUAUUAGGGAAGAACAAACGUGUAAGUAACGGUGCACGUCUUGACGGUACCUAAUCAGAAAGCCACGGCUAACUACGUGC